AUGAAAAAUCGGGCAAAAACCGGAACAAUAAGGGCCAAGCCCACUCCAAAGAUUGACAUACAGGGCAAAGCCCACCCUCAUCGACAACAUGUCGACCUACAGCCAGACAACGCAGCUCCGACUCUGACGGAGAACUCAGAAGAACAAAACCAGGUGAAAGUUGGCGCCACGGAAGAUCGCCGAACGGGCCACUUGCAGCCAGUCAUCGUAUACCACAGGGCCCUGCCACCGCAGCUUCGACUCCACAGCAACAAACAAACCGAGGCAAUACCGCGAACACGUCGGAGAAGAGCCGUCUACCGCAACCAUUGCCGCGUCGCCGACAUCGCUCCCACCAUUAUCGUUACCACAAAAGCCUGGUCGCCACAGAGAUCCUCUCGGGGCCGCCGCCCCGACAUCCACCGCUCUGUCGCGCCUAGCGCACUCCACUGGCAUCGCCUUCUGGGGCCGCCGCCCCGACAUACCACCGCUCCCCUCGAGCAGCAACGCCGCACAGCCCAGCUGCCCGCAGCCCACGCUACUCAGGGCAACUGCUCGCAGACCACGAACGCCGCACCACAUCCGGGGCCGCCGCCCCGACAUAAAGUCAGACCGCCCCCUCUGAGGCGCAUCGACCGAGCCGACACCCCCACCGCCCAAGCGGGACAAGGAUGCCACUCAACCAAUGUUGAGAUUGAGCCCCACCUCAUAGAGCUGCCACUCGCAUUGUUUCCGAGAUCGCCAUCUCGGCGCACAAACAGAAACCACCCGGAGCCACUGCCCCGGCGUCCACUGUACCCGCCGAGAAAGAGAUCCGUGCAAACCGCAAAAUGUUGA
rnacentral:rRNA from 1 species